CUACUCAUCGUUAAGUUAAUAAUUUGUACGGAGAAAGAUCUUACCGGUUGGCAUUGUGUUUGUAACUGUGUUUUAUCAAAUUUUAAAAUUUUUUUUUUGUUAAAAUUGAGUGCGGUUUAUACUUUUUGGAUCGUUUUAAUGUGCUGAUGUCAAAAAUGAUUUUUAAAAAAUGAAAAAACAUCAUUGACAUGUAUUUCGGCACGAAAAGCUAUUUGAAAAAUACCCACAACCACACUGUCAAAUACGCUUUAUAAGUCGAAAUUGCACUUUUCAAAAAUAUGUGAUGAUACAGGACUUUCAGGAGAAAAUGUGUUUUUUUUAAAAAAAAAUUAUGAUGUUUUUAUUUUUUCUAUUUAUAGGUCGAGAUUUGAUUUGAAUUGAAUAAAUAAUUGAGUUUUUUUAUUUUAAAAUAGAAUUUAGGUGAAUUUUAAUAUCGUGAAGCCAUCCAUAUCCGAGUCUGGUAUAUUUUUUCCAAUCUCUUUCUCUUAGCUUUUAGCUAUUGCUGGACUCUAUCUGCUUUUAUUGGUCCACGUUGCAACUCUAGUCAAUUAAUCAGACCAGGCGCUGAUAAAAUGAUAGCGUCACUUCGUUAAAGAUUAUUAUUAUAGCACACUUGAAUGGACAUGAUAACAUGGCUGCAAAGUAACACUCUUAUGCCCUUUUAGGGCAUUUACUUGAUAAAGCCACGACCCACCAUAGAUUUUGGUUGACAAAAAAAUCUCUCCCAGACGACUUCUUCUUUUUCUUCUUCUAUUGAGAAUAUUUAUUUUCGUGUUUUUUUAUGAAAAAAUCUAGAAGCUUUUUUAUAUAUAUUUUUACAAAUUAUUUUGAUAUACUAAUAUUAAAAAUAUUUUUUUAAAAAAUAAAAAUAUUUUAAUAUAUUUUUAAAUAAAAAACACUUUAAAAUAUAAUUACUACUACAAUAUCUAAAUAUCAAAAGACACGGGCCUGGAUUUCUUUCUGGAAUAUUGUAAACAAUUUGGCCCCCACUUUUCAUUGCGUGUGUAGAAUAAUUAGAGUUUGUUUGACUCCUUGAGUUUGUUUACUACUUUGCUUUGCUUUGCUUUAAAGAAUAACAUUAAAGAUAUAUUUGAUUAAAAUUUUAAAAAAUAGAAUAAAUGUGAUUUUUAUGAUAAAAGAGUAUUUUAAAAAACAAUUUAAAAGUAUAUUAGUUUUUCAUUUCAAAAGCCAGAAAGUGAUGCUUAUAGAUGAGUGUUUAAUUAUUUUACUAAUAGUAUAUCAUAACAAUUCAUUAAAAAUAAUCCGAUAAGUUUAAUUUUACAACACAACACAACACAACAAAAGUCAAAUAAACUCUAAAUGGUAAUGCACGUAGAAGUUUACUAGUUAGUUAUCAAAGCAUUUAGCGUGGACGUACUUAUAUCCCUCAAAUGAUUUUGGGGCAAUUUCAUAGUAAAUUUAUUAAAUUGGGUUUGCCCCAAGGUAUAGAUUAAAGUUCAAUCUAAAAUAAUGUUGUUUUUUAAAAAGUAAAAAAAAAAUUAAUUUAAAGAUUUUUUAAAAAAAUAAAACUGAAUUUUAACUUAAUAAACCGAGUUAAACCGAGUUAACUUCAAAUCAGGUUAAACAGAAUUAAUUUAAAGAUUUUUCUAAAAUAAUGCAGCGCCCGGAACUCUUCUAAUUUCUCUGUUUCUAAUACGAUAUAUUCCUCAUCUCCUACAUAGUAGAACUUUAUCUUGCAGACCAGGAAUGUUAGAGAAUAAUAUAAAUCAUAUCAUGGGACCUCACCCAAUAGCUUAAGCUAUUGAGUUGAGAUGGUUCUUUGACAUGAUAUUAAAGCCUUGAUGACCAAGCGGUCACGAGUUCGAAUCUCACAAUCCCUAUUUAUUUGAUAAAAAUUAAGCACAAGGUAAUGUGGACCUGUGUAAGUUUCAAGUCUGAAAGGCUUUCACUUGAAGGGGUGUGUUAGAAAAUAAUAUAAAUCAUAUCAUGGGAACUUACCUAAUAGUUUAAGUUAUUGAAUUGAGAUAAUUCUUUAAUUUCACAAGGAAUACAAUUAAACACAAGGCACAAAGAUUUGGAGGAUGACUGACCGUAAGGUUUGAGUGAGCAAGGCGUCUUUGGCAUGAUCAUUCUCUGCUCUUGCUUUGACUAUUUGAAACAUUAGAUCAAGCCUGAGUUGAUUUUCAGAGCUCUGCUUGGAGAUUACGUUAGUUUCCUCUCUCAGUUUGGCAGCCUCUUCGCUUAUUUCUUGAAAUCUUUUCCUGAUUUCCUUCUGUCCCUCGCUGAUCUCAACCAUGUCAGCUCUUAUCCUUUUGACGCCCCUGCUUAAUUUCCUGUCAUUAUUUUCUCGUUUCUGUUUCAAGUAAUCUUUAGAUUGUUAGAAAUUAAAACAAAAAAGAAAAUGAAAAUAACAGUCACAAUUUGAGAUGUACAAUCUAAUUAUAAAACACACAAGUCCAAAAACAAUAAAAUGAAGAAGGGCAUGCACUUCUAAAUUAUAACUGCGGAAGUUUUCUUCGAGUUGCUCCGAGAGAAGUCCUCUCGCCAACUAAUUUUGUAUAAAUGCAGCUCUUCAUGGUCAACCUGCAUAUGCAUGAGAGUUUUGCUACGGUGAUGGUGAUAACUUCGUGAGCCAAGUAUUUAAUGAUCGCAAAAUAAAUAAACCUGUGAAGGAAACGUAGGUCGGUCCGUGGAUAAUCGAAAGCAAGUUGCCCACUCUUUUCCUCUGGGCCCCUCGCUAUAAGUCAGCAUUAAAUAAAGAAGAAGACAAUAGUAUUGUGUCUUAUCUUUGAUCGUGCGAUACCACGCGAAGGAUGCUGCUCGAUCUCAAGCUUUCGCACGAUGAUGGCCUUGUGAAGAGCGAAACCGAACUUUGUUUUGACAUCUGUACUUGUGAUGCAGUUAAGUCUGAAUUAGUUGGGAAUCCAUAUAAUUUAAGGAUUUGGAAAUUGCAAGUCAUCUGUAUUCGUUCUUGUCGGAAGCAUUAAUUGUGAUAUCUCCGCCAGUUAGAUUUGCAAAUAUUAGGAGGUAACCCAUGCAUCCUCUUAAACAUCGAUCACACCUGAGACAGACGAGAGAGAGAAGUUGAAACUCCACCAUGAAAGGUGGUGUCUGGUCAGCGGAGGAACCCGCAUGAAUGGCACAGGCCACUCCUAUUCUCUAGUGCAUUUGUUACACGGACCAACUAAGUUUUAUUUUUAAAUAUCUUUUAUGUAUGUUAAAAUACUUAAUUAUCCUUGAAUGUAUUUAAUAAUUACAAAAAAAAUCCAUAAUAAAAUGAUAAAAAAAUUAAUUUAAAGAUCUUUUAAAAAAAUAAAACUGAAUUUUAACUUAAUAAACCGAGUUAAACCGAGUUAACUUCAAGUCAGGUUAAACAGAAUUAAUUUAAAGAUUUUUCUAAAAUAAUGCAGCGCCCGGAACUCUUCUAAUUUCUCUGUUUCUAAUACGAUAUAUUCCUCAUCUCCUACAUAGUAGAACUUUAUCUUGCAGACCAGGAAUGUUAGAGAAUAAUAUAAAUCAUAUCAUGGGACCUCACCCAAUAGCUUAAGCUAUUGAGUUGAGAUGGUUCUUUGACAUGGUAUUAAAGCCUUGAUGACCAAGCGGUCACGAGUUCGAAUCUCACAAUCCCUAUUUAUUUGAUAAAAAUUAAGCACAAGGUAAUGUGGACCUGUGUAAGUUUCAAGUCUAAAGGGCUUUCACUUGAAGGGGUGUGUUAGAAAAUAAUAUAAAUCAUAUCAUGGGAACUUACCUAAUAGUUUAAGUUAUUGAAUUGAGAUAAUUCUUUAAUUUCACAAGGAAUACAAUUAAACACAAGGCACAAAGAUUUGGAGGAUGACUGACCGUAAGGUUUGAGUGAGCAAGGCGUCUUUGGCAUGAUCAUUCUCUGCUCUUGCUUUGACUAUUUGAAACAUUAGAUCAAGCCUGAGUUGAUUUUCAGAGCUCUGCUUGGAGAUUACGUUAGUUUCCUCUCUCAGUUUGGCAGCCUCUUCGCUUAUUUCUUGAAAUCUUUU
rnacentral:lncRNA from 1 species